rnacentral:rRNA from 1 species
GACGAAGGUGGCGAGCGUUGUUCGGAAUCACUGGGCAUAAAGCGCACGUAGGCGGCGGCGUAAGUCGGGUGUGAAAGCCCUCGGCUUAACCGAGGAACUGCCUGUCAGACUGGAUGGCUUGAGACCGGGAGAGGUGAGUGGAAUUCCCAGUGUAGCGGUGAAAUGCGUAGAUAUUGGGAGGAACACCAGUGGCGAAGGCGGCUCACUGGACCGGAACUGACGCUGAGGCGCGAAAGCGUGGGGAGCAAACAGGG